UGGGUUGUGGCUCAGUGGUAGAGCACUUGCCUAGCACAUGCAGGACACUGGGUUCUAUCCUCAGCACCAUAU
rnacentral:tRNA from 1 species